UACGUAGGGUCCGAGCGUUGUCCGGAAUUAUUGGGCGUAAAGAGCUCGUAGGCGGUCCGUUAAGUCGGAAGUGAAAUCUCAAGGCUCAACCUUGAAAUCGCUUUCGAUACUGGCGGACUUGAGGCAGGUAGGGGAAGGUGGAAUUCCUGGUGUAGCGGGUGAAAUGCGCAGAUAUCAGGAAGAACACCCGUGGCGAAGGCGGUUCUCUGGGCAUGUCCUGACGCUGAGGAGCGAAAGUGUGGGGAGCGAACAGG
rnacentral:rRNA from 1 species